AUGACGCCCAAGACUUUCAGUUUUCAGGGCGAUAGACGCCAGCCUCAGAUGAUCCAUCUGACAGAAGCAGGAGAGAGUCCGAACAUCCAGAAAAGAUAUAGUCUGAUCGGUGCACGUGCAGCACGUGCCGCUGUGGGGCGUCGCCAUCGGCGAGCUCGCCCGAUUCACCAGCUCCUUUUACCUUCCAAAAUCAAGGUAAACCGUGCAAUCAGUGGCGCCGAUUUCACUUUCUUCCUCGGGCAUUAUCCUCCGACGAGAAUUCCCAAUCUCCUCGACAACGGCCAGAACAUCUUCAACUCCAACUUCUCCCAGCCCGGCUACGACGCCAGGGACUUCAGUUUCCAGGGCGACGCAUACUAUGACUCCCAGUCUCAGAUGAUCCAACUGACAAGAAACGGUACGGGUCCAAGCAUCCAGAACAGCGUAGGCCGAGCGUUCCUCGCCACGCCCAUGCCGUUGUGGGAUAACGUCACCGGCGAGCUUGCCCGCUUCACCACCUCCUUCACCUUCCAAAUAAAGGUAAUCAGUGCAAACACUGGCGAUGGCUUGACAUUCUUCCUCGGGCAUUAUCCUCCGACGAGCAAACUUGAAGGCGUCGGCGGGAGCCUUGGCCUCUUCAACAAUGGCGUCGCGACUGGCGUCGUGGCGAUUGAGUUUGACACGUACUUCAACGCUGGGGUCGACAACAGCGGUAGUCACAUGGGCAUCGACGUCAACUCCAUCGUUUCCCGGGAGUACACCAACGUGGCCGUGCCAGGCAGGAACCUAACGUCCGGCCUCCCAAUGACUUGCCACAUCAGCUACGUCAACACAAGUCUUGACCUGAGGCAGUUCUUGCCUAGUGAGGUGGCCAUCGGCUUCUCGGGUGCCACCGGUGUGGCUGUCGACCUACACCAAAUAAUGUCCUGGUCAUUCAACUCCACCUUGGAACCGCCACCUGCACGGAAGAACUCCAAGUUUCCGUGGAAACUACUAGUACAAGCAACUGGACCGGUUAUCGUUUUUUUGGCGAUUGUGUUCAUCUUUGUUGGCGUCCGACGACGGCAGCUACGCACGAGAAAGAAGCAUCACAGAGCUCUCGCCAGAGGCCUUGAACAUUUUGAUUACCAUAAGCUGGCGGGUGCAACCAACAAAUUCUCACAGGAGAACAAGCUCGGGCAAGGAGGUUCCGCCUCUGUUUAUCAGCGCCAACUGACAAAUAGACAUGUGGCGAUAAAGAUAUUCACGCCAGUAGCAUCCGGCGAAGGGAGGAAGGCGUUCGAGGACGAACACAGAAUUGCGAGUGGCCUGAGGCACAAGCACCUAGUCCAAUUGAUAGGCUGGUGCUACGAUCGCAAGAGGAACCAGGUUGAGUUCAUAUGCUGGUGGUUGGACGACAGGUACACACGUCUCUUUCUUGUGUAUGAGCUUUUGCCACAAGGUAGCCUCGAUCAACACCUACACAGGGGCAAAAGUUGGUUACCAUGGUCCAAGAGGUACGAGAUUAUCCUCGACCUAGGCUCUGCACUGCAAUACCUCUACGUAGACUGUGAGCAAGGCCAACAAUGUAUCGUACACGGCGAUAUCAAGUCGAGCAACGUGCUGCUUGGGUCUUCAUACGGUGCCAAGUUGGGUGACUUCGGAUUGGCAAGGUUUGUUCUCCACGAAACUGGGUCACAGACCACAGAUGUUCUGCAAGGCACUUUUGGAUAUAUAGACCCUGUGUUCCUCAACACGAGCCAACGGAAUAGGCAGUCAGACAUAUACAAUUUCGGGAUUGUCCUACUAGAGAUGGUCUCUGGAAGGGAUCCAACAAUGUGUCUCCAUGAUAGGCCUCCAUUGUCAUCAUGGGUAAGGAGUUUGUACCAUAGGAAUUACAUCCUGGACGCCGCAGAUGAGAGGCUGAUAAGCGGCGAGUCCAAUGUCGCGUGUCAACAGAUGGAGCACACAUUACUCAUUGGGCUCUUGUGCGUGCACCCGGAUCCGAGCAUACGACCGUCCAUCACCCAUACCAUGGAAGCCCUGCGAUCGGAGGAGCUGACAUUGGACAUUGCUCCCCUAGCGCCGGUGGCACUCUCGCUUGCAUAG
rnacentral:rRNA from 1 species